rnacentral:rRNA from 1 species
AUGGCUCCCCCUACGUCGUCCUCGUCUCCGAUGCCGGUUAUGGAUGCACGGAUGAGGCUGAUAAUCCAGGCAGCAGCACUGAUUAGUGUGAUUCAGGCAUGGGUCAUGUUCAUGCACCAAAGAGCUGUUCGUCGUGCUGGGAGACCUUUGAUCCGCUAUGGUCCAUUGUUUCCCCGGGAAUAUGUACGGUCAAAUCGGGGGCGUCACAACUACAUCUACAACUGCAAUGAUGUCGAGGCUCUGUGGAUGCUUAGAAUGAAAAGAGCACCAUUUGCCAGGCUUGUCGAGACCUUCAGGAGCAGGGGGCUGUUAUAA